CCCUCCCGUCCCCUCCCCUAGCGUCGCGAGUUCCAACCGGGCAGCGAGACCCGGCCGACUCAGGGUGCCAGAGUACUGGAGAGCUAAAAAUAUAACCGGUCACCGUUCUGGCCAAAUUGCAUCCUACUGGGAAACCUUACAAGACAGGAUGAGAAAGGCUGUGGGAGAGCGGAGUGAAUCCCUGGAAGGAAGGUGUUGAAUUUUUGCGCGUUUCUGUAUUUAUUCGAAUCUCCCCUGCAGUGCUGAAAACACACCAGCCUUGAGGAAUAUCACUGAAACAAAACUGAGAAAUCCAGCUUCCUUGAUCCACUCCUCCAAAUGGGCAGGAGCAAAGACAGCCACAACAGAAAUUAGCUUUGGAGAAGAGUGAUUGGAUGGAUGCCAAGGGCAAAUGAUUUGCUAUGUACUGACCUGAUGUGAGUGAAUUCUAGUAAACAAGGCACAUCCCAUCAAAAGGACUUAUGAAAGGGGACUUCCCUGGUGGCGCAGUGGUUAAGAAUCCACCUGCCAAUGCAGGGGACACAGGUUCGAACCCAGGUCCGGGAAGAUCCCACAUGCCGCGGAGCAACUAAGCCCGUGUGCCACAACCACUGAGCCUGCGCUCUAGAGCCCGUGAGCCACAACUACUGAAGCCCGCGCACCUAGAGCCCGUGCUCCGCAACAAGAGAAGCCACCGCGAUGAGAAGCCCGCGCACUGCAGGGAAGAGUAGCCCCUGCUUGCCGCAACUAGAGAAAGCCUGCACGCAGCAACAAAGACCCAACGCAGCCAAAACUAAAUAAAUAAUAAAUUGGGUUAAAGAAAGAAAAAAGGACUUAUGAAAGGACACCACUAGGUUUAGUCAGAUAGAUUGGACUUGCCACUUAUUAGCUGGGUGAGAGGCUGUAAAUGGAGAUAAUAAUAAUCCCUAUUUAACAAAGCUACUGUGAAGAAUAAGAGAGAUAGCGUGUGUAUGUGUGUGUGUCUGUGUGUAUGCAUAUGUGUGUGUGUGUAUAUAUAUAUAUAUAUAUAUAUAUAAAACUACCUACUCUUUGCAUAAGGAAAUAUUAAGAAUUAUUUAUCUUUUGGGAAUUCCGUGGUGGUCCAGUGGUUAGGACUGUGUGCUUCCAUUGUAGGGGGCCUGGGUUUCAUCCCUGGUCCAGGAACUAAGAUUCCACAGCCAGGCAAUGCAGACAAAAAAAAAAAGGGGCUUCCCUGGUGGCGCAGUGUUGAGAGUCGGCCUGCCGAUGCAGGGGACACGGGUUUGUGCCCCGGUCUGGGAAGAUCCCACAUGCCGUGGAGCGGCUAGGCCUGUGAGCCAUGGCUGCUGAGCCUGCGCGUCUGGAGCCUGUGCUCCACAACGGGAGAGGCCACAACAGUGAGAGGCCCGCAUACCGCAAAAAAAAAAAAAAAAAAAAAUUUUCUUAUUUUUAAAGAUUUUAUUUAUUUAUCUAUCUAUUUAUUUAUUUGGUUGCAUUGGGUCUUAGUUGCCGCACACAGGAUCUUUGUUGCCAUCUGCUGGAUCUUCAUUGGGGCAUGCAGCAUCUUUUAGUUGCAGGCUCUUAAUUGCAGCAUGCAAACUCUUAGUUGUGGCAAGUAGGACCUAGUUCCCUGAGCAGGGAUCAAACCCGGGUCCCCUGCAUUAGGAGAGCAGAGUCUUAGCCACUGGACCACCAGGGAAGUCCCAAGAAUUAUUUAUCUUUUGCCUUACGCCUUAUCCUAGAUUAGGUAACCAGAUACCUUAUACUAGCCUAUUGGUAAUG